rnacentral:tRNA from 1 species
GUCCGGAUGGCGGAAUUGGUAGACGCGCACGUUUGAGGGGCGUGUGAGCAAUCGUGAGGGUUCAAGUCCCUCUCCGGACA